AUUGAACGCUGGCGGCAGGCUUAACACAUGCAAGUCGAGCGGAGAGAGGUAGCUUGCUACUGAUCUUAGCGGCGGACGGGUGAGUAAUGCUUAGGAAUCUGCCUAUUAGUGGGGGACAACAUUUCGAAAGGAAUGCUAAUACCGCAUACGUCCUACGGGAGAAAGCAGGGGAUCUUCGGACCUUGCGCUAAUAGAUGAGCCUAAGUCGGAUUAGCUAGUUGGUGGGGUAAAGGCCUACCAAGGCGACGAUCUGUAGCGGGUCUGAGAGGAUGAUGCGCCACACUGGGACUGAGACACGGACCAGACUACUACGGGGGGCAGCAGUGGGGAAUAUUGGACAAUGGGCGCAAGCCUGAUCCAGGCAUGCCGCGUGUGUGAAGAAGGCCUUAUGGUUGUAAAGCACUUUAAGCGAGGAGGAGGCUACUUUAGAUAAUACCUAGAGAUAGUGGACGUUACUCGCAGAAUAAGCACCGGCUAACUCUGUGCCAGCCGCCGCGGUAAGAC
rnacentral:rRNA from 1 species